GCUUGCACUCUCUGAUGUUAGCGGCGGACGGGUGAGUAACACGUGGGUAACCUACCUAUAAGACUGGGAUAACUUCGGGAAACCGGAGCUAAUACCGGAUAAUAUUUAGCUUCGCAUGAAGCAAUAGUGAAAGACGGUUCUGCUGUCACUUAUAGAUGGACCCGCGGUGUAUUAGCUAGUUGGUGAGGUAACGGCUCACCAAGGCAACGAUACAUAGCCGACCUGAGAGGGUGAUCGGCCACACUGGGACUGAGACACGGCCCAGACUCCUACGGGAGGCAGCAGUAGGGAAUCUUCCGCAAUGGACGAAAGUCUGACGGAGCAACGCCGCGUGAGUGAAGAAGGUUUUCGGAUCGUAAAACUCUGUUGUAAGGGAAGAACAAGUACGUUAGUAACUGAACGUACCUUGACGGUACCUUACCAGAAAGCCACGGCUAACUACGUGCCAGCAGCCGCGGUAAUACGUAGGUGGCAAGCGUUAUCCGGAAUUAUUGGGCGUAAAGCGCGCGUAGGCGGUCUCUUAAGUCUGAUGUGAAAGCCCCCGGCUCAACCGGGGAGGGUCAUUGGAAACUGGGAGACUUGAGUGCAGAAGAGGAGAGUGGAAUUCCAUGUGUAGCGGUGAAAUGCGCAGAGAUAUGGAGGAACACCAGUGGCGAAGGCGGCUCUCUGGUCUGUAACUGACGCUGAGGUGCGAAAGCGUGGGGAUCAAACAGGAUUAGAUACCCUGGUAGUCCACGCCGUAAACGAUGAGUGCUAAGUGUUGGGGGGGUUUCCGCC
rnacentral:rRNA from 1 species